UUAUGGCUCAGAACGAACGCUGGCGGCAGGCUUAACACAUGCAAGUUGAGCGGGAUUGUUGAGUAGCUUGCUAUUUAACAUGAGAGCAGCGCACUGGUGAGUAACACGUGGGAACAUACCUUUUGGUGGGGGACAACAGUUGGAAACGACUGCUAAUACCGCAUAAGCCCUAAGGGGGAAAGAUUUAUUGCCGAAAGAUUGGCCCGCGGAAGAUUAGGUAGUAGGUGGGGUAACGGCCUACCUAGCCGACGAUCUAUAGCUGGUCUGAGAGGACGAUCAGCCACAUUGGAACUGAGACACGGUCCAGACUCCUACGGGAGGCAGCAGUGAGGAAUAUUGGGCAAUGGAGGGAACUCUGACCCAGCCCAUGCCGCGUGAGUGAAGAAGGUUUUCGGAUUGUAAAACUCUUUCAGAUGGGAAGAUGAUGACGGUACCAUCAGAAGAAGCACCGGCUAACUUCGUGCCAGCCGCUGC
rnacentral:rRNA from 1 species